AGAAGGAUGUGUGGGAGGGGUUCUGCUCAGGGCACGUAUGUAUUUAUAUGACAGUAGUCUCCUGUUUCCCAUCUCCAUGUGCAAUGAGCUUUUACAUAGUUAAAAGUGGUUUGGUUCUUUGAAAAACAUCUUAUUAUUUUACAUGUAUGAGUGCAUGUGUUUCUAUGAUAGAAUGUGUGCAGUGCCCAUGGAAGCCAGGAGAGCAUAUUGCAUCCCACGUACCAAGGUUCUGCAUGGUUGUGAGCUGUCUUGUGGGUGCAGGGAAUUGAACCCAGGUCCUCUGUGAGAGCAGCCAAUUCCCUAACAGCUGAGCCAUCUCUCAGGAUCAUCUAUUGUUCUCUGGCUGGUCAGAGUAGCCCAUUGUAGAAACCACGAUUGGUAUCCAGUGCUACCCAAUGGGAAGUUUCCAGCUGGCUUAUUAGAUACAACCUGGUUGUGUCAUUCAUUUCUGUCCCUUAAGUAAUUUUUUUUCAUCAGACAUUAGCAACCUCAGGGAUGGCCACACCUAUUCUGGCGACAGUCGUACAGUUUCCAUGACAGCUCACUGGGGACUGGUGGAGCUGUGUCCCAGGAUACAGGUGGGCUGCCCACCAGAUGAGGUCUCAAGGGCCUGAAGUCUUCCUAACUCAGGCCUGCCGAGGGAUGCUAUGCUAUCUGGCAGCUGGGUCAGCUGUUUUCUGGCUUCCCCAUAGCAGGGUGGUGGAGGCCCAGCAGAAGGCCUGUCAGAGCCUGACCUUAGAAGCCAGUCAUGCAUGUUACAUGCAGAGCAGUUACAAAACCCAACAGCCUCAAGGGGAGGCAACCACAGUCUACCUGGUCAUAGGCAGCAGAAGAUUCUAGAAGAAAUGCUCUUGUCCAGCCUACUCGCUUGUACUAAUAAAACCUGCAUAUGGGUUUAUUUUUAACUGACGUUUGCUAAAUUGUGCUCCCAAGAAAUUGCACAAAUGCUCUCCCAGCAGCAUACUGAGGAGGAAUAUAUAUCUCUAACAAUAGGUUAAUUGUCAUGAAUGGGUUGAAUGCCUGUGAACCUCUGCCCACGGAUAUGAUGCUGUGCCAUGUGGCCACUAGAGGGCAGUGGUUCUCCAUGGAAGCACAAGGAAGCCCUCCCUGACCCGUGCUGGCAUCUCAGUCACUUCAGAUAGGGAUGGCGGUUGGGUGGCUGCUGCAGGGAGCUCAACGGAACAGGAUUAGGGUCAGGGGCUUCAUUCCUAUCUCGGAUGCCCUUGGUAGGCUGUGUGAAUAACAUCAGAAGGCGUGGCUUUCCAGUUCUCUGAUUCUCUGCAGAGCAAGUGCCUCUGUGAAAGUGCCCCGCCCACUCCACCUUCUGCAGAAGCAUGGGCCAACCAGGGCUGACAGUUCCUUUUCUGGGGCAGAGGGCGGUAGAGGGUAAUUAAUGAAAUUUCCUCAGAAGCUCAUUUCCAGACAGCUUUAUCUUUACCUAGGAAUGUGGGACUCGUCCCACGUUCAAGGAGAUCCAAGCCCCUUUGUACUCUGGGUGGCCCUGGAUGACAGCCCCUUCCCAACAUGUGCUCACAUAGAGGCCACGUUCACUUAAACAGGGUGGGGCUGAGUCCUCAACUCCAUCUAGUCUGGCUCCUCCUCUUUUCCCAGAUGAGCCUGGGCCACCAUCCCAGGACACUGUCGAGGCUUCUCUGUCCCGGGAUGCCACCAGUCAAAUCUGACACCCGGGUUCGUCAAAGUUCUGCUCCUGUCCCCAGCACUCAGGAAGCAGAGGCAGGUGGGUGCCUGAGAGUUCUAUAUAAUAAGUUUUGGGAGAGUCAGGCUGCAUAACAGACUCUCUCAAGGUCAAAACAAAACAAAACAAAACAACAACAACAAAAACAACCAAACAAAAGGUAGCAGAGAAAGAAGAAAUAAUCCAAGUCAGCACACUGGGAAGAGGAACAACUAAUGGGGGUCCCAGGUUACCCCACCCCACACGCAGGGUCCUCACAUGAGGGUUCCUUUGCAAUAGAAAGCAAGCAGUGUGCAAAGCUAAGCGUCCUGAGUGAGGCGAGGUCAGGCCCACACUGAGCCAUCGUGGCCUCUGCUCCAGGGUCUCCUGUGAGGUAAUCUGAAGAGAGACCAAAACUCUGUGAGGCUUCUGUGGGAGCCAAGGUCCCCUCCUGCCAGCGCCAGGCUUCAGCCUCAGCCCUCUGCCUGCAGGAAAUUCCCCCAAGGGAUUCGAAUUGUUUCCGGUGUGUCUGCUUCCGUUUCCGGUACCUGAUGGGAGGGGCACCGUGUCUCUCUGGAGUGUCUUCACUUUUUCCAGGUCUCUUCUCCUGAUGCUUCCUGGACCUCUCCUCAAGGCUUCACUCCUUCACUUCCUGUGUCUUUCCCCACUCCUCCAAGAAUCUGACAUCCCACCUUAUCCUCUCUAAGACUCUGUUUUGGCUCCAUGGCUUUUAUUGGGAAAGCAGAGAACGAAUGAGGAGCAAUGUUUACUCAAACCUGAGAUGAGAUCCUCUAAGAGUAAAUAUGACAGAGCCAUGUCCGAGUGAACCUGGAUAGUGGGAUAGGGAAACCAGCAUUUGAAAUAACACAAGGGUGAACUUUACAUAGCGUUCAAAAACAUUAUAUCUACUGGAUGAGCACAUUCACGGUCUUGCCAGGCAACCAAAUAUAAGAAUUUUUGCUCUAUA